UUUGUGUUGGGCUUAUGAGGCCUCUGGCACAUGCACACAGAGCUAUCUGAAAGGCAGGUAGCCACCCAGGAUCUGUUAUGCCUGGGGUGUGGAAGUGGAAAAAGAAGGCAGGAGACGGAUACUGCAAGUACAUGGAAUGUUCUUCUAUCUGCCCUUCCUCUGAAGGACAUAAGAAAAGGGACUUAGCAUGCCAAAGACCUAGUGUCGAAUUCCAGUUACACCCUUUCUCACCAAAUGGGACUUUGGGCAGCCAUGAAUGCAUCACUAGUAACUGAGGAGAAAGAGCAGCACCAAGCCAAUCUUCCAUGUGCUUUUCCACAUUUCUCAGGCCACCUUACAAUUACAUCAAAAACACUUAACUACUACAAUCAUAUGCUUCAUAAUGAUGUUUCAGUCUUAACAGGCCACAUACAAGGCAGUGGUCCCAUUAGAUUAUACCACUUAGUGAUGCCAUAGCUGUCUUUGUGAGAGUCUAUUCUAUGAUGCUCACAUGACCACAAAACCACUGAACAAAACAUUUCUUAGAAUAUAUCCCUGUCAUUAGUGAUUCGUGACUGUACUUCUAGCUACAGGACGGUGAGUGGGACUGGAGUGAGUCAUUUAAGAGCAUUGCAAGUUCUUCAUGCCUCUUGUCCCAUAGCCUUUCAAGGUCACAGGCAGUAUGGCAGCUUCCCCAGACAACGGAGACUGAAACUGAGCUAAUGAUGGAAAAGGGUUGCUAUUAGACUGUGUGACUGAGGGAAAAAAAGGAUUUCACUUGUUAAGACACCAAGAUUUGGGAGUUUAUAAUUAAUACAGCUUGCCCUGGCUAGUAAAGAGAUAAAGGUCCUCAAAGAAAGAAAAUGUGCUCUAUAAAUUUACUUAUUAGGUGGACUCCUUAAGAAUGUAGAAGUCUGUUGAUGAAGGAGAAGGGUGGGGUGAAGGUGGCAGGGAGUCUGUUUGAACACAUCAUAGCAACUACAACAAUGUUUUGUACUAGGAAACAGAAGUAUGUUGGCAUAGACCUCUAUUUCAACCACAAAGAUCAUUCUAUGCCAAACAGAAGAGACACCUCAAUAAGAUUUCCU
rnacentral:lncRNA from 1 species